UACGGGGGGAGCAAGCGUUGUUCGGAUUUACUGGGCGUAAAGGGCGCGUAGGCGGCGCAACAAGUCACUUGUGAAAUCUCCGGGCUUAACCCGGAGCGGCCAAGUGAUACUGUCGUGCUAGAGUGCGGAAGGGGCUACUGGAAUUCUCGGUGUAGCGGUGAAAUGCGUAGAUAUCGAGAGGAACACCUGCGGCGAAGGCGGGUAGCUGGGCCGACACGUGACGCUGAGGCGCGAAAGCGUGGGGAGCGAACAGG
rnacentral:rRNA from 1 species